rnacentral:rRNA from 2 species
AAAACGACUCUCGGCAACGGAUAUCUCGGCUCUCGCAUCGAUGAAGAACGUAGCGAAAUGCGAUACUUGGUGUGAAUUGCAGAAUCCUGUGAACCAUCGAGUCUUUGAACGCAAGUUGCGCCCCAAGCCGUUAGGCCGAGGGCACGCCUGCCUGGGUGUCACGC